rnacentral:piRNA from 1 species
UAUCUCAGGAAUGUGGACAAGAUAGGACC